rnacentral:rRNA from 1 species
CCUAACACAUGCAAGUCGAACGGUAACAGGAAGAAGCUUGCUUCUUUGCUGACGAGUGGCGGACGGGUGAGUAAUGUCUGGGAAACUGCCUGAUGGAGGGGGAUAACUACUGGAAACGGUAGCUAAUACCGCAUAACGUCGCAAGACCAAAGAGGGGGACCUUCGGGCCUCUUGCCAUCGGAUGUGCCCAGAUGGGAUUAGCUAGUAGGUGGGGUAACGGCUCACCUAGGCGACGAUCCCUAGCUGGUCUGAGAGGAUGACCAGCCACACUGGAACUGAGACACGGUCCAGACUCCUACGGGAGGCAGCAGUGGGGAAUAUUGCACAAUGGGCGCAAGCCUGAUGCAGCCAUGCCGCGUGUAUGAAGAAGGCCUUCGGGUUGUAAAGAC